CCCUUAGAUGUUCUGGGCCGCACGCGCGCUACACUGAUCAGUGCAACAAGCAUCCGUCCUUGGCCGACAGGCCCGGGCAAUCUUUGAACGCUGAUCGUGAUGGGGAUAGACUUUUGCAAUUUUUGGUCUUCAACGAGGAAUUCCUAGUAAACGCAAGUCAUCAACUUGCAUUGAUUACGUCCCUACCCUUUGUACACACCGCCCGUCGCACCUACCGAUUGAAUGGUCCGGUGAAGCCUCCGGAUUGGCGUGCACCCUCGGGUGCUGCCGAGAAGUUGGCUAAACCUUACCAUUUAGAGGAAGGUGAANUCGUAACA
rnacentral:rRNA from 1 species